UACCUGGUUGAUCCUGCCAGUAGUCAUAUGCUUGUCUCAAAGAUUAAGCCAUGCAUGUCUCAGUUCAGGCCUUAAUACGGUGAGACCGCGAAUGGCUCAUUAAAUCAGCUAUGGUUUAUUGGAUCGUGCCCGUUAGAUGGAUAACUGUAAUAACUCUAGAGCUAAUACAUGCCUCGAUGCCCUGACCCUGCUUGCUUGCGUGCGGUGGGGGAUGGGUGCACUUAUUAGACCAGAAGCCAACCAACCAACUGUGCGUGUGCGGCCCACUGCGAGGUGGACGUGGCGUGCGUUGUGACACUCACUUCUGGUGACUCUGGAUAAUUGUUACAGAUCGCAGUCGGCGCUGAGUCGGCGACGGGUCCUUCAAAUGUCUGCCCUAUCAACUUUCGAUGGUAGGUGACCUGCCUACCAUGGUGGCGACGGGUAACGGGGAAUCAGGGUUCGAUUCCGGAGAGGGAGCCUGAGAAACGGCUACCACUUCCAAGGGAGGCAGCAGGCGCGCAAAUUACCCACUCCCGGCACGGGGAGGUGGUGACGAAAAAUACCGAUGCGGGACUCCUUCAAGAGGCUCCGUAAUCGGAAUGAGUGGACUCUAAACCCCUUCACGAGGAUCAAUUGGAGGGCAAGUCUGGUGCCAGCAGCCGCGGUAACUCCAGCUCCAAUAGCGUAUAUUAAAGUUGCUGCAGUUAAAAAGCUCGUAGCUGGAUCUCGGUGGCAUUGUUGCCUGUUGGUGAUUGAGCGGCGGGUGUGUGGUCGUCGGUGCGCGGUUGCCUCGGCGCCUGCAUGUUGGUGGGCCGGUCAGUAGUUGGGCUGGUGGGGUGGCGUUUGUUGCGGUAGGGUGGUUGGUUGGUUGGUUGGUUGACCAGCUGGUCUGCUCUUUGCUCGCUCGUUCGCUCUCUUGCUGGCCGAUUGGUGAGCUGGCUCGCAUGUUCGCCUGCGGCGUUGGGGUGGCUGUGCAGUCGUGGCCAUGAGCAAGCACUGUCGCGUCAAGCCGACAAGGUGGUGGUGUCGCCUGUAAGCCAUGUCUGUGGUGUAGUCGCCGCAGGUGUGGGCGGGUGUUGGGCGGUGCUCUGCACGCGCUGCGGGGCCUGUCGGCUCGUCCACAUGCCUCUGGAUGCCCUUGAUUGGGUGUCUGCGGGCGGAUGGCACGUUUACUUUGAACAAAUUUGAGUGCUCAAGUCAGGCCGAUGUUGCCUGCAGAGUUUUGCAUGGAAUAAUGGAAGAGGACUUCGGUUCUAUUUCGUUGGUUUUCGGAUCCGAAGUAAUGAUCAAAAGAGACAGGCGGGGGCGUUUGUAUGGCUGCGCUAGAGGUGAAAUUCAUGGACCGUAGCCAGACAAACUAAAGCGAAGGCAUUCGUCAAGCAUGUUUUCAUUGGCCAUGAGCGAAAGUCAGAGGCUCGAAGACGAUCAGAUACCGUCCUAGUUCUGACCAUAAACGAUGCCAACUGACGAUCCGUGGUGGUAGUGAUGUUGCCUUCCCCACGGGCAGUCGCCGGGAAACCGUUAAGUGUUUGGGUUCCGGGGGAAGUAUGGUUGCAAAGCUGAAACUUAAAGGAAUUGACGGAAGGGCACCACCAGGAGUGGAGCCUGCGGCUUAAUUUGACUCAACACGGGAAAACUCACCCGGGCCGGACACUGUGAGGAUUGACAGAUUGAGAGCUCUUUCUUGAUUUGGUGGUUGGUGGUGCAUGGCCGUUCUUAGUUGGUGGAGCGAUUUGUCUGGUUAAUUCCGAUAACGAACGAGACUCCAGCCUGCUAAUUAGUGCGUUCGUCCACUGCGCCCGCGUGGGUGACGUUGGACGAUGCCGUCUGCCGUGGGUGCGCGGUUUGCGCUCUUGCCCUCUCCUCUCCUCUCCUCCCCUCCUGCACUUCUUCGUGUGAGGGUGGUGGGGUGGGGUGGGGUGGGCGAGGUUGCAGGUUCACGCCCGUGGUUGGUUAGUUUGGCGUUGGCCCGCGGGUGCGGCGCGAGUGUAUACUUCUUAGAGGGACAAGCGGGAGAAGCCGCGCGAGAUAGAGCAAUAACAGGUCUGUGAUGCCCUUAGAUGUCCGGGGCCGCACGCGCGCUACAAUGACGGUGUCAACGAGUGGGACCUUCUGGCCCGAGAGGGUUGGGCAAACUGGUCAAUCACCGUCGUGACAGGGAUCGGGGCUUGGAAUUGUUCCCCGUGAACGAGGAAUUCCUAGUAAGUGCAAGUCAUAAGCUUGCGCUGAUUACGUCCCUGCCCUUUGUACACACCGCCCGUCGCUACUACCGAUUGAAUGGCUUAGUGAGAUCCUUGGAUCGGCGUCAUUGUGGCAGCUGCCGGAAGGUCGCUGUCCUGCAGUCGCCGAGAAGACGACCGAACUUGGUCAUUUAGAGGAAGUAAAAGUCGUAACAAGGUUUCCGUAGGUGAACCUGCGGAAGGAUCAUUA
rfam:Echinococcus multilocularis genomic scaffold, pathogen_EmW_scaffold_08